ACACGACUCUCGGCAACGGAUAUCUCGGCUCUCGCAUCGAUGAAGAACGUAGCGAAAUGCGAUACCUGGUGUGAAUUGCAGAAUCCCGCGAACCAUCGAGUCUUUGAACGCAAGUUGCGCCCAAGGCCAUUCGGCCGAGGGCACGCCUGCCUGGGCGUCACGC
rnacentral:rRNA from 1 species